UACAUAGGGGGCAAGCGUUAUCCGGAUUUAUUGGGUGUAAAGGGUGCGUAGACGGAGAAACAAGUUGGUUGUGAAAUCCCUCGGCUCAACUGAGGAACUGCAACCAAAACUAUUUCCCUUGAGUGUCGGAGAGGAAAGUGGAAUUCCUAGUGUAGCGGUGAAAUGCGUAGAUAUUAGGAGGAACACCGGUGGCGAAGGCGGCCUGCUGGACUGCAACUGACGUUGAGGCCCGAAAGCGUGGGGAGCAAACAGG
rnacentral:rRNA from 1 species